rnacentral:rRNA from 1 species
AGGGGGCUAGCGGAUGGAAGUGCUAGUCUAAGGUCGUAGGAGGUUAUACAGGCAAAUCCGUAUAACAAUACUCCGAGAACUGAAAGGCUUUUUGAAGUCUUCGGAUGGAUAGAAGAACCCCUGAUGCCGUCGAGCCAAGAAAAGUUUCUAAGUUUAGCUAAUGUUGCCCGUACCGUAAACCGACACAGGUGGGUGGGAUGAGUAUUCUAAGGCGCGUGGAAGAACUCUCUUUAAGGAACUCUGCAAAAUAGCACCGUAUCUUCGGUAUAAGGUGUGGUUAGCUUCGUACUAGGAUUUACUCCGAAAGCGAAGAAACUUACAACAAAGAGUCCCUCCCGACUGUUUACCAAAAACACAGCACUCUGCUAACUCGUAAGAGGAUGUAUAGGGUGUGACGCCUGCCCGGUGCUCGAAGGUUAAUUGAUGGGGUUAGCAUUAGCGAAGCUCUUGAUCGAAGCCCGAGUAAACGGCGGCCGUAACUAUAACGGUCCUAAGGUAGCGAAAUUCCUUGUCGGUUAAAUACCGACCUGCAUGAAUGGCGUAACGAGAUGGGAGCUGUCUCAAAGAGGGAUCCAGUGAAAUUGUAGUGGAGGUGAAAAUUCCUCCUACCCGCGGCAAGACGGAAAGACCCCGUGGACCUUUACUACAGCUUGACACUGCUACUUGGAUAAGAAUGUGCAGGAUAGGUGGGAGGCUUUGAGUAUAUGACGCCAGUUGUAUAUGAGCCAUUGUUGAGAUACCACUCUUUCUUAUUUGGGUAGCUAACCAGCUUGAGUUAUCCUCAAGUGGGACAAUGUCUGGUGGGUAGUUUGACUGGGGCGGUCGCCUCCCAAAUAAUAACGGAGGCUUACAAAGGUUGGCUCAGAACGGUUGGAAAUCGUUCGUAGAGUAUAAAGGUAUAAGCCAGCUUAACUGCAAGACAUACAAGUCAAGCAGAGACGAAAGUCGGUCUUAGUGAUCCGGUGGUUCUGUGUGGAAGGGCCAUCGCUCAAAGGAUAAAAGGUACCCCGGGGAUAACAGGCUGAUCUCCCCCAAGAGCUCACAUCGACGGGGAGGUUUGGCACCUCGAUGUCGGCUCAUCGCAUCCUGGGGCUGGAGCAGGUCCCAAGGGUAUGGCUGUUCGCCAUUUAAAGCGGUACGCGAGCUGGGUUCAGAACGUCGUGAGACAGUUCGGUCCCUAUCUGCCGUGGGCGUAAGAAGAUUGAAGAGAUUUGACCCUAGUACGAGAGGACCGGGUUGAACAAACCACUGGUGUAGCUGUUGUUCUGCCAAGAGCAUCGCAGCGUAGCUAAGUUUGGAAAGGAUAAACGCUGAAAGCAUCUAAGCGUGAAGCCAACUCUAAGAUGAAUCUUCUCUAAGCUCUCUAGAAGACUACUAGUUUGAUAGGCUGGGUGUGUAAUGGAUGAAAGUCCUUUAGCUGACCAGUACUAAUAGAGCGUUUGGCUUAUCUUUAAUAAAGCAU